rnacentral:rRNA from 1 species
CUCAGGACGAACGCUGGCGGCGUGCCUAAUACAUGCAAGUCGAACGCUUCUUUUCCCACCGGAGCUUGCUCCACCGGGAAAAGAGGAGUGGCGAACGGGUGAGUAACACGUGGGUAACCUGCCCAUCAGAAGGGGAUAACACUUGGAAACAGGUGCUAAUACCGUAUAACAAUCGAAACCGCAUGGUUUCGUUUUGAAAGGCGCUUUACGGUGCCGCUGAUGGAUGGACCCGCGGUGCAUUAGCUAGUUGGUGAGGUAACGGCUCACCAAGGCCACGAUGCAUAGCCGACCUGAGAGGGUGAUCGGCCACAUUGGGACUGAGACACGGCCCAAACUCCUACGGGAGGCAGCAGUAGGGAAUCUUCGGCAAUGGACGAAAGUCUGACCGAGCAACGCCGCGUGAGUGAAGAAGGUUUUCGGAUCGUAAAACUCUGUUGUUAGAGAAGAACAAGGGUGAGAGUAACUGUUCACCCCUUGACGGUAUCUAACCAGAAAGCCACGGCUAACUACGUGCCAGCAGCCGCGGUAAUACGUAGGUGGCAAGCGUUGUCCGGAUUUAUUGGGCGUAAAGCGAGCGCAGGCGGUUUCUUAAGUCUGAUGUGAAAGCCCCCGGCUCAACCGGGGAGGGUCAUUGGAAACUGGGAGACUUGAGUGCAGAAGAGGAGAGUGGAAUUCCAUGUGUAGCGGUGAAAUGCGUAGAUAUAUGGAGGAACACCAGUGGCGAAGGCGGCUCUCUGGUCUGUAACUGACGCUGAGGCUCGAAAGCGUGGGGAGCAAACAGGAUUAGAU